rnacentral:rRNA from 1 species
UAGUGGCAGACGGGUGAGUAAUGUAUAGGGAUCUACCUAGUAGUACGGAAUAAUUGUUGGAAACGGCAACUAAUACCGUAUACGCCCUACGGGGGAAAAAUUUAUUGCUAUUAGAUGAGCCUAUAUUAGAUUAGCUAGUUGGUGGAGUAAUAGCCUACCAAGGCAAUGAUCUAUAGCUGAUCUGAGAGGAUGAUCAGCCACACUGGAACUGAGAUACGGUCCAGACUCCUACGGGAGGCAGCAGUGGGGAAUAUUGGACAAUGGGCGAAAGCCUGAUCCAGCCAUGCCGCAUGAGUGAAGAAGGCCUUUGGGUUGUAAAGCUCUUUUAGUGAGGAAGAUAAUGACGGUACUCACAGAAGAAGUCCUGGCUAACUCCGUGCCAGCAGCCGCGGUAAUACGGAGAGGGCUAGCGUUAUUCGGAAUUAUUGGGCGUAAAGGGCGCGUAGGCGGAUUAGUAAGUUAAAAGUGAAAUCCCAAGGCUCAACCUUGGAAUUGCUUUUAAAACUGCUAAUCUAGAGAUUGAAAGAGGAUAGAGGAAUUCCUAGUGUAGAGGUGAAAUUCGUAAAUAUUAGGAGGAACACCAGUGGCGAAGGCGUCUAUCUGGUUCAAAUCUGACGCUGAGGCGCGAAGGCGUGGGGAGCAAACAGGAUUAGAUACCCUGGUAGUCCACGCUGUAAACGAUGAAUGUUAAAUACGGGAAGUUUUACUUUCUGUAUUACAGCUAACGCGUUAAACAUUCCGCCUGGGGACUACGGUCGCAAGAUUAAAACUCAAAGGAAUUGACGGGGACCCGCACAAGCGGUGGAGCAUGUGGUUUAAUUCGAUGCAACGCGAAAAACCUUACCACUCCUUG